AAGAUGGGAAAACUGAUGGAUUAUCACUUCUUUGUUAAGGUUACAAAAACCUGAGACUUCCAUUUUGCUGGAAACUUCUUUUCCUCUUGCACACUCACUCUGCGACUCUGUGUGGAGAGCUCCAUGUGACAAGGGAGGUCUGCAGCCUAAGCAACUGAGACCUCAGCCCAACAGCCCUCAAAGAACUGGAUCUUCAAACAACCACAUGAGUGACCUAGAAGCAAAUCUGUCACCAGUGCUCUUGAGACGGGCUGAAGUAUUUAAUCACCGGCACAAAAUGUCCCAGUGUUCUGUUCUCCUGCUGUGGAAAUUUUAGAGAAAAGAUCAUGAUCUAAGAGUCUACAAGACCAGAGCAGCCUGAAUUGCUGAGCUGCCUGGUGGAGAAUAGCAGCAUUGGGUGGUUCCCAGGAUUCUUAAAAGGACUUUACAAAGGCCUGGCCUAAUCACUUAAGAGCUCUUAAGGAGUGAAUGGGCUCUUCCUGAAAAAAGAGCUUCUGCUAACCCUGAAAAGCAAGCAACAACCCUGUGAACUGCUAUGGAGAGAGAUGGCCUCUAACAGCUGAGGACCUCAGUCCUACAACCACAAGAAACUGAUUUCUGCCAACAACAUGAAUGAACUUGGAAAAGGCCCCUGAGCUCCAGAUGAGAACACCCAGGUCAACUCAGGUCAUGAGCAGAGAACCCUGUUAUAUUCUCCUUGGCUUGUGAUCCAUAAACAAUGAGAUUAUAAAUGUGUGGUUUUUAAGCCAUUAGGUUUGUGGUAACUUGUUACACAAGCCUCUUUUAGAUUCUUUACAUACACAAAUAUAUUCUAAACGAAUAAUGAGUCUUCCUUUCCCAUCUUUAUACCAUUUACUUCUUAUUCUUCCCUUACCGCUUUAAGACCUCUAGUAUAAAGUUGACUAGAAAAGGUGGUAGUGGCAUUAUUGUGUAGUUCUUUAUAUCAAAGGGAAGAUUUUCAAUGUUUUCAUGUUAAGUAUGACAUUUACUGUAGGUUUUUCAUAGAUGCUCUUUAAUCAGUUUAAGCAAUUCUUGUCUAUCCCUAGAAUUAUUGUCAGGAAUAAAUGUUGACUUUUAUCGAACACUGUUUCUGCACCUUUUAAAAAUAUCAUAUUUUUUCCUUCAAAUGGUUACUGUGUUGAAUUAUAUUAGCAGACAUUCUAAUGUUAAAGUAACCUAUCAUUCCAGAGAAA
rnacentral:lncRNA from 10 species